CUGCGCUAUAUAUCUGUGUAGAACUCAUACAGGACACAAUGCAUGAAGCUUCCUAUUUUCCUCAGAGUCAAUAGAGAGGUUUGACAGGGUGGGCAGAUCAAAUGGGAGUGCACUAUAUGCCCCUAAUAAGACUUUAGGCAUAUACGCCGCAUUUGGGUGCAACACCACCUGCACUGUUUUGUAAUGGGCCUCAGAAACCCUGUCUCUUUAAGAAACUGAAUGGCAAGCGGGUGCACACUUGGCACAGCACCAUAUAUGCCCUAAUGACCAUUAUCUCGCUAUCUUCAAUAUGUUCAACAAAACUAAAAAAAUGCGUAAUCUGGCAUUGAUAAGAUGGUAAAGAUUUUCGUCCGCACCAAUCUUCAAAUAUGCGCCAUUUGAACUCGUAAAGCCCCCUUGUUGAUGUAGCCAUAGUGCUCUGAAUUGCAGCCACUACAUUGAUAGCGAGCCCUGCUGCCAUCAGAUUCUCUCUCUUAGUCCACAGCUCCAGUCGAGGAUGCAGAAUCUGGGUAAUGUCUUGGUAAGUCUGCAGCAAGGACAUAGAGCUCAACGCUCUAGCUGUGCAGGCUUGAUCAGUAUAAAUCCUGCCGAGCUGUUUGUACGAGAACCGGCAAGGUCCCAUUGGGAGAGUGGGUACCUGGGAUACCACUAUUUUGCGUGGGUGCCAGGGAAUGCAGCAAGAGAAUGUUCUACUGGGGAUUCGAGACCAUCCCUGCUUCCCCCACUCCUUCGAACUCCAUAAACUUUUUGGACCCGGCACCAGAGGAGGGGGUGACAUGGGCUUCAGCCACGAAGAUGUGAGCUCCGACACAGAAUCUAUAUUAAGCGGCAAGCGUGUCCUCAAAGACACCAGAGACAAAAAGAACUCACCGAACUGCAAGCUUUUCUGUACCUGCCAUUCUCCAGUAUAGAUCAAUGAAGAGAUCCUGUACUGUCUCACUUCCACCCACCGCCUUGGAGGGCGAGGGAGAAGCUGGGAUUUACCCUGGUUGAAAAAUGUUGUCAGAGAACUCUUCGCCCGCAUCAAACGACACCCAAAAUCCUGAUGAAACUCAGAAGCAAUCAGAGGAAACACCCCUGUCCUCCUCGGCUUCCUCCAAAACGGCUAGAGCCGCAUCUGGAUCAGCCUCUGAGGACAAAAGCAGACUGUGUCUGGCCACUGCCCCACCGAGCAAACGCUCCACAAACGCCACAUGCCGCUCAAGCAUGGAACGACAGAACAGCCAGCAAUGCACGCACGCUCAGUGGUUGGAGAGAGCCAACUUAGCACGGACAAUACCAAAACACACCAGACAGUGCUCGUAGGGAAAUAUCCUCUCAGCUUGCACUGUGCUGGCAGCCUCAGAUGAAUUGCCCUUGUUUAUUCUGCUGAUGCUGCAGCUAUAGGAGAGCCAGGAAUUUAAUAUGCAGCUGUGGGAGAGAAGAACUACGGGUGCUGGAGAGGAUCAAUAAUUGAAAGGUCACACAGUGGCUGAACUGCUGUAUGUGAGCUAUAGGAGGAGCUCAUUGUGUGUGUGUGUGUGUGUGUGUGUGUGUGUGUGUGUGUGUGGUUUCUGCAUGCAGCAUGGUGACACAGAUAAAAUUUGAUCAUGUGACACUGAAGACUUGGGUAAUGAUGCUGAAAAUUCAGUAUAUCUGUGACAGAAAUAAAUACAUCUUAAAAUGUAUUAAAAUAGAAAUCUGUUAUCCUAAAUUGUAGUAAUAUUUUACAAUAUUACUGUUUUUAUUGUUGGUGAGCAAUCAUAAGUCACUUCUUUCAAAAAAUAUUAAAACAUCUUAACCAACCCCAAACAGUAUUUGGAUAUUUUUGUACAUUUUC
ensembl:lncRNA